GGUCAAGCUAAGAAGUGCAUGUGGUGGAUGCCUUGGCGCCAGAAGCCGAAGAAGGACGUGAUAAGCUGCGAUAAGCCUCGGGGAGCUGCAAGCAAGCAUUGAUCCGGGGAUCUCCGAAUCGGGAAACCGCAAGUAUCGCUGUGUAAAGGCCCUGCCAUCUGGCAGGGAGAUAGCGCAGCGAAGACAACCCAGGGAAGUGAAACAUCUCAGUACCUGGAGGAAGAGAAAUCAACCGAGAUUCCCCUAGUAGUGGCGAGCGAACGGGGAAUAGCCCAAACCGUGCGGACAUGUCCGCGCGGGGUUGUAGGGCUCAUCCGGUGCAGAACCAAGGAGUUACCAAUCGGCAGAUAGCGGAACGGUCCUGGAAAGGCCGACCAUAGCGGGUGAUAGUCCCGUACGCGAAAUCGAACCGACUCCUGAUGAGUACCUGAGUACCACCGAGCACGUGUAACUUGGUGGGAAUCCGGGGGGACCACCCUCCAAGGCUAAAUACUCUCUGGCGACCGAUAGUGAACUAGUACCGCGAGGGAAAGGCGAAAAGAACCCCUGACGGGGAGUGAAAUAGAACCUGAAACCGCAUGCAUACAAGCUGUGGAAGGCCUAUGGGGGAUCCGCAAGGUGAACCAAUGGCUGACCAUGUGCCUAUUGAAGAAUGAUCCGGCGAGUUAAUGGGUCGAGCAAGGUUAAGGGCUUUGUGAAAGCAAAGUCCGAAGCCGUAGCGAAAGCGAGUCCGAAAGGGCGAUAAGUUCGGCUCAUUAGACCCGAAGCCAAGUGAUCUAUGCCCGGCCAGAGUGAAGGUCCGGUAAAACGGACUGGAGGCUCGAAGUGUUAACCGUUGAAAAGGUUCUACAUGAGCUGGGUAUAGGGGUGAAAGGCUAAUCGAACUUGGUGAUAGCUGGUUCUCCCCGAAAUAGCUUUAGGGCUAGCGUCGGGCGUUAAACAGCGGGGGUAGAGCACUGGUAGAUGUAGGGGAGGCAACCCCUCUUCCGAAAUCUGUCAAACUCCGAAUACCGUUGUGAAUUGCCCGGCAGUCAGUUCGUGAGGGAUAAGCUUCACGUGCGAGAGGGAAACAGCCCAGACCGUCGAUUGAGGUCCCAAAGUGCGUGCUAAGUGGUAAACGAUGUGGAUUUGCUUAAACACCUAGGAGGUUGGCUUAGAAGCAGCCAUCCUUUAAAGAGUGCGUAACAGCUCACUAGUCUAGCGAAUCUGCGCGGAAAAUGACUCGGGGCUAAGCACGCCACCGAAAUUACGGCUGUUCUUGGAUCUUCGGAUCCAGGGACGGGGUAGGGGAGCGUUCGUAGCGCAGCGAAGGCAUACUGAAAGGAGUGCUGGAGCGCUAUGAAGUGAGAAUGCCGGAAUAAGUAGCGAGAAACAAGGUGAGAAUCCUUGUCGCCGAAAACCUAAGGGUUCCUUGAGCAACGUUCGUCGGCUCAGGGUUAGUCGGUCCUAAGCUGAGGCCGAAAGGCGUAGGCGAUGGGCAUCAGGUUAAUAUUCCUGAACCAGCCUGUUUCGUUAAGCUAAGAGGUGACGCAGAAAGGUAAGCCUACCGGGCGACGGUCGUCCCGGGGAAAGAUGGUAGGGGUGCUCUUCCAGGAAAAGUCCGGAGGGGCGUUAACCCGAGAAUCGAGACCAGUGCGGGGAGACCCGUGCGAAGUGGCCCAACUCCGCUGCCAAGAAAACCCUCGUAGUUUGAGACAGGUUGACCGUACCGUAAUCCGACACAGGUAGGUGGGGUGAAAAUCCUAAGGCGCGCGAGUGAGACUUGGCUAAGGAACUAGGCAAAAUAAUCCCGUAACUUCGGAAGAAGGGAUACUCUCGGAGAGAUCUGGGAGUCGCAGUGAAAUGGGUUCCGCGACUGUUUAACAAAAACACAGGACUCUGCUGAAAUCGCAAGAUGAAGUAUAGGGUCUGACUCCUGCCCGGUGCUGGAAGGUCAAGGGGAGAGGUUAGCCGCAAGGCGAGGCCUCGAACUUAAGCCCCAGUAAACGGCGGCGGUAACUAUAACCGUCCUAAGGUAGCGAAAUUCCUUGUCGGGUAAGUUCCGACCUGCACGAAUGGAGUAACGAAGGAACCGCUGUCUCGGCCAAGUGCUCGGCGAACUUGUGUUGCCAGUGAAGACGCUGGCUUGGCGUGGUUAGACGAAAAGACCCCGUGCACCUUUACUGUAACUUGGCAUUGGAUUAUAGUCUUGAAUGCGUAGAAUAGGUGGGAGCCUUUGAACCCCGGGUUGAGGCCUGGGGGGAGGCGACAAGUGAAAUACCACCCUUUCCGGACUGUGAUUCUAACGUUGCGCCGUGAUCCGGCCGACGGACAUUGCCAGGCGGGCAGUUUGACUGGGGCGGUCGCCUCCCAAAGAGUAACGGAGGCGUCCAAAGGUUCCCUCAGGGCGGAUAGAAAUCGCCCAACGAGCGCAAGGGCAGAAGGGAGCUUGACUGUGAGGCCUACAAGCCGAACAGGGACGAAAGUCGGGCCUAGUGAUCCGGUGGCUCCACGUGGAAGGGCCAUCGCUCAACGGAUAAAAGGUACGCCGGGGAUAACAGGCUGAUCGGGUCCAAGAGUUCACAUCGACGACCCGGUUUGGCACCUCGAUGUCGGCUCAUCGCAUCCUCCCGCUGGAGCAGGUGGGAAGGGUUGGGCUGUUCGCCCAUUAAAGCGGUACGUGAGCUGGGUUCAGUACGUCGUGAGACAGUACGGUCUCUAUCUACCAUGCCUGUAGGAAGCUUGAGAGGAGUUGGCCAUAGUACGAGAGGACCUGGCUGAACGAACCUCCUGUGUCCCAGUUGUCCCGCCAGGGGCAGCGCUGGGUAGCGGUGUUCGGUAGGGAUAAACGCUGAAAGCAUCUAAGCGUGAAACCCGCCUCAAAACUAGGCUUCCCCAGCCCGCAAGGGCUCUAAAGGACCCCGGAAGACUACCGGGUUGAUAGGCCGGAAGUGUAAGCGCCGCGAGGUGUUAAGCUAACCGGUACUAAUCGUCCGUGCGGCUUGGCCUU
rnacentral:rRNA from 1 species